GAUGAACGCUGGCGGCGUGCCUAAUACAUGCAAGUCGAGCGAACAGAUGGGGAGCUUGCUCCUCUGACGUUAGCGGCGGACGGGUGAUUAACACGUGGAUAACCUACCGAUAAGGCUGGGAUAACUUCGGGAAACCGGAGCUAGUACCGGAUAAUAUAUUGAACGGCAGGGAUCAAUAGUGAAAGACGGUUUUGCUGGCACGUAUGGAUGGAUCCGCGCCGCAUUAGCUAGUUGGUAAGGUAACGGCUUACCAAGGCAACGAUGCGUAGCCGACCUGAGAGGGUGAUCAGCCACACUGGAACUGAGACACGGUCCAGACUCCUACGGGAGGCAGCAGUAGGGAAUCUUCCGCAAUGGGCGAAAGCCUGACGGAGCCACGCCGCGUGAGUGAUGAAGGUCUUCGGAUCGUAAACCUCUUUUAUUCGGGACGAACCGAUGUGUACGUAUCUAUGCACGUCUUGACGGUACCUAAACAGAAAGCCCCGGCUAACUACGUG
rnacentral:rRNA from 1 species